AAAUGAAUUGACGGGGGCCCGCACAAGCGGCGGAGCAUGUGGAUUAAUUCGAUGCAACGCGAAGAACCUUACCUGGGCUUGACAUACACCGGACCGGGCCAGAGAUGGUCUUUCCCUUGUGGCUGGUGUACAGGUGGUGCAUGGUUGUCGUCAGCUCGUGUCGUGAGAUGUUGGGUUAAGUCCCGCAACGAGCGCAACCCUUGUCUUAUGUUGCCAGCACGUAGUGGUGGGGACUCAUGAGAGACUGCCGGGGUCAACUCGGAGGAAGGUGGGGAUGACGUCAAAUCAUCAUGCCCCUUAUGUCCAGGGCUUCACACAUGCUACAAUGGUCGGUACAACGCGUUGCGACACUGUGAGGUGGAGCUAAUCGCUGAAAGCCGGCCUCAGUUCGGAUUGGGGUCUGCAACUCGACCCCAUGAAGUCGGAGUCGCUAGUAAUCGCAGAUCAGCAACGCUGCGGUGAAUACGUUCCCGGGCCUUGUACACACCGCCCGU
rnacentral:rRNA from 1 species